rnacentral:rRNA from 1 species
AGAACCGCAGCGAAAUGCGAUAAGUAAUGUGAAUUGCAGAAUUCAGUGAAUCAUCGAAUCUUUGAACGCNCAUUGCGCCCAUUAGUAUUCUAGUGGGCAUGCCUGUUCGAGCGUCAU